rnacentral:rRNA from 1 species
UACGUAGGUGGCAAGCGUUGUUCGGAAUUAUUGGGCGUAAAGGGCGCGUAGGCGGAUGAGCAAGUCUGCUGUGAAAGCUCCUGGCUUAACCGGGAGUGGUCGGUGGAAACUGCUCGUCUGGAGGACGGUAGAGGUAGGUAGAAUUCCCGGUGUAGUGGUGAAAUGCGUAGAGAUCGGGAGGAAUACCUGUGGCGAAGGCGGCCUACUGGGCCGGACCUGACGCUGAGACGCGAAGGCGUGGGGAGCGAACGGG